rnacentral:rRNA from 1 species
AGCGAACGCUGGCGGCAGGCCUAACACAUGCAAGUCGAGCGGGCGUCGCAAGACGUCAGCGGCAGACGGAGAGUAACACGUGGGAACGUGCCCUUCGGUUCGGAAUAACCCAGGGAAACUUGGGCUAAUACCGGAUACGUCCGGAAGGAGAAAGAUUUAUCGCCGAGGGAUCGGCCCGCGUCCGAUUAGCUAGUUGGUGGGGUAAUGGCCCACCAAGGCGACGAUCGGUAGCUGGUCUGAGAGGAUGAUCAGCCUCACUGGGACUGAGACACGGCCCAGACUCCUACGGGAGGCAGCAGUGGGGAAUAUUGGACAAUGGGCGCAAGCCUGAUCCAACCAUGCCGCGUGGGUGAUGAAGGCCCUAGGGUUGUAAAGCCCUUUCGGCGGGGAAGAUAAUGACGGUACCCGCAGAAGAAGCCCCGGCUAACUUCGUGCCAGCAGCCGCCGUAAUAC